GGCGAACGGGUGAGUAACACGUGAGUAACCUGCCCUUGACUUUGGGAUAACUUCAGGAAACUGGGGCUAAUACCGGAUAGGAGCUCCUGCUGCAUGGUGGGGGUUGGAAAGUUUCGGCGGUCAAGGAUGGGCUCGCGGCCUAUCAGCUUGUUGGUGAGGUAACGGCUCACCAGGGCUUCGACGGGUAGCCGGCCUGAGAGGGCGACCGGCCACACUGGGACUGAGAUACGGCCCAG
rnacentral:rRNA from 1 species